ensembl:rRNA 5S_rRNA 5S ribosomal RNA
GUCUACAGCCAUACCACUCUGAAUGCCCCAUCUCGUCUGAUCUCAGAAGCUAAGCAGGGUCAGGCCUGGUUAGUACUUGGAUGGGAGGCUGAAAGUGAAUAGGUAUGCCACAGCUA